UACAGAGGGGGCAAGCGUUAUUCGGAAUUAUUGGGCGUAAAGGGCGCGUAGGCGGCUUGGCAAGUGGAUGGUGAAAUCCUGGAGCUCAACUCCAGAACUGCCUUUAAGACUGCUUCGCUUGAAUCCAGGAGAGGUGAGUGGAAUUCCGAGUGUAGAGGUGAAAUUCGUAGAUAUUCGGAAGAACACCAGUGGCGAAGGCGGCUCACUGGACUGGUAUUGACGCUGAGGUGCGAAAGCGUGGGGAGCAAACAGG
rnacentral:rRNA from 1 species